rnacentral:rRNA from 1 species
UCGGGAAUAUUGCGGCAAUGGAGGAAACUCUGACGCAGUGACGCCGCGUGCAGGAAGAAGGUUUUCGGAUUGUAAACUGCUUUAGACAGGGACGAAACAAAUGACGGUACCUGUAGAAUAAGCUCCGGCUAACUACGUGCCAGCAGCCGCGGUAAUACGUAGGUGGCAAGCGUUGUCCGGAUUUACUGGGUGUAAAGGGCGUGCAGCCGGGCUGACAAGUCAGAUGUGAAAUCCCGAGGCUUAACCUCGGAACUGCAUUUGAAACUGUUGGCCUUGAGUAUCGGAGAGGUCAUCGGAAUUCCUUGUGUAGCGGUGAAAUGCGUAGAUAUAAGGAGGAACACCAGUGGCGAAGGCGGAUUGCUGGACGAUAACUGACGGUGAGGCGCGAAAGUGUGGGGAGCAAACAGGAUUAGAUACCCUGGUAGU